UACGAAGGGGGCUAGCGUUGCUCGGAAUCACUGGGCGUAAAGGGUGCGUAGGCGGGUCUUUUAGUCAGGGGUGAAAUCCCGAGGCUCAACCUCGGAACUGCCUUUGAUACUGGGGAUCUCGAGUCCGGAAGAGGUAAGUGGAACUGCGAGUGUAGAGGUGAAAUUCGUAGAUAUUCGCAAGAACACCAGUGGCGAAGGCGGCUUACUGGUCCGGAACUGACGCUGAGGUGCGAAAGCGUGGGGAGCAAACAGG
rnacentral:rRNA from 1 species